CCCAAAUCCCGCUGCCCUCCUUCCCCAAGCGAGCGCCGGCGAAUCCCCUCCUUUCCCAAUCGAGCACCGGCGAGGGAAGCGAGCGCCGGCGAAAUCCCCUCCUUCCCCAAGCGAGCGCCAGUGAAUCCCCUCCUUCCCUAAGCAAGCGCGGCGAAAUCCCCUCCUUCCCCAAGCGAGCACCGGCGAAAUCACUGCAUAAUUUGAAGUUCAUCAUCCGACUCCUAGCAGCAAGUCAUUUUGGAUCUGAAAAACAAAUUACAGCUUUGCUAUGUUUGUGAAUUUUAGGCAGUUGCCAACAUUCUGUUUGUGUCAGAAUACAAUGCUCUGCAUGAAUAUGAAGAUCAUAUGUUUGAUGGAAUGAAAUCAUGUUAUAGGCAAGCUUGAUGAACGAGGAACUGAUUUUUUCUUUAAUGUUUGAUUUAGACGUUGUGAACUUUUGUACCAGGAGUUAAAUUGAUAUUUGAUUGUGAACUUUUGUACCAGGAGUUUGCAAUCACGCUUUCCACUUUUACUGCAUCGGUAGGUGGCUCAAGACCAAGCAACUCCAGUAAUGUUUUCGGAUGUCGAAAGUUAUAGGGAUCAAUGUUGUGUUAGUUUUUUAUGCUAAAAAGUUCCCUCCCCACUGUAUGAUACUUUCUCUUGAUCUUUUUGACAAAUGUAAAAUAGUUCAUAAGAGAGUACCCCUGUUACCUCAUCA